UGUUAAAGUGCUGACACCUGGGCCGGGAGCACAACUGGAGGAAUGCUUGCCUAAUGCAAGGGCCUGGCUCCAUUCCCCAGUGUGUUUGGGAGUAUAUACAACUGAGUUCUCUCAAAACUAGAGCACGGAGCUCGGAAAGCCGGGACUUAAGCAAAUCUCCCAAAGACAUCACAACCCCUCUCCAUUGUUCUGGAAAUUGCAUUUUCCUUUGGGAGUGGAGGUGGCCUUUCAUACCAGAAGUCCUCUGGCUAGAGUUGAUGCAGAUGGAAUCUGUUUAGCUGACUUACACAGGGUUUAAAAAAAAAAAAAUCUAGGAGAGCAUUUCAAAUCUGGUAGGCAGUACUCAGUAGACUAAGGCAGGAGCCUCACCAACCAGAACAUAACGUAAUGAGACACUGUUUGAAAGAAGAAAAAAAUGGCCAAAUCAACCAGUUAACCAAACCAACCAACGAAAACCAAAGUCCUAGAGGAAAAGGGGUGUGUGUGUGUGUGUGUGUGUGUGUGGUUUUUGCUACUCUAAAGAGCCAUACAUUGCCUGCUUCUGUCUCUCAAUUCUUCACAGCCCUCAGAGCACCAGUAAAGUGCAUUCCCAAUCAGCCUCGUAUACUGUAUCUCUGGGCCCUGAGUUCAGCUUUUGGCCGUUGUGGGCUGCACACCCUGUCCUCCUGUCCUGGGUCUUUGUGCAGUGUCACCUGUAGAGCAAGUAGCUUUGAAAGUCAUCCGCCUUUCUGAGCAGGUAACGGAGCUGGUCAGUGAUCGGACUGAACAUGGAGUCCAGCGGGAGGCGAGCUGGGGCCGCCCCGAGCUCCGCUGCCAGUGGCUCCCGGGAGGACGUGGAGGUGGGAGCUUCCAUCAUGGACUGUGCUCGCUGGGGCUCCAGCUCUGUUGAACCCUCAGGUCUCCCGGCCGGCGACCACGAGGGGUCUCCAUAAG
rnacentral:lncRNA from 1 species